rnacentral:rRNA from 1 species
ACGAACGCUGGCGGCGUGCUUAACCCCUGCAAGUCGAACGGAAAGGCCCUGCUUUUGUGGGGUGCUCGAGUGGCGAACGGGUGAGUAACACGUGAGUAACCUGCCCUUGACUUUGGGAUAACUUCAGGAAACUGGGGCUAAUACCGGAUAGGAGCUCCCGCUGCAUGGUGGGGGUUGGAAAGUUUCGGCGGUUGGGGAUGGACUCGCGGCUUAUCAGCUUGUUGGUGGGGUAGUGGCUUACCAAGGCUUUGACGGGUAGCCGGCCUGAGAGGGUGACCGGCCACAUUGGGACUGAGAUACGGCCCAGACUCCUACGGGAGGCAGCAGUGGGGAAUAUUGCACAAUGGGCGGAAGCCUGAUGCAGCAACGCCGCGUGCGGGAUGACGGCCUUCGGGUUGUAAACCGCUUUCGCCUGUGACGAAGCGUGAGUGACGGUAAUGGGUAAAGAAGCACCGGCUAACUACGUG